UAAUGAGGCGAACCGGGGGAACUGAAACAUCUAAGUACCCCGAGGAAAAGAAAUCAACCGAGAUUCCCCCAGUAGCGGCGAGCGAACGGGGAGCAGCCCAGAGCCUGAAUCAGUGUGUGUGUUAGUGGAAGCGUCUGGAAAGGCGCGCGAUACAGGGUGACAGCCCCGUACACAAAAAUGCACAUGCUGUGAGCUCGAUGAGUAGGGCGGGACACGUGGUAUCCUGUCUGAAUAUGGGGGGACCAUCCUCCAAGGCUAAAUACUCCUGACUGACCGAUAGUGAACCAGUACCGUGAGGGAAAGGCGAAAAGAACCCCGGCGAGGGGAGUGAAAAAGAACCUGAAACCGUGUACGUACAAGCAGUGGGAGCACGCUUAGGCGUGUGACUGCGUACCUUUUGUAUAAUGGGUCAGCGACUUAUAUUCUGUAGCAAGGUUAACCGAAUAGGGGAGCCGAAGGGAAACCGAGUCUUAACUGGGCGUUAAGUUGCAGGGUAUAGACCCGAAACCCGGUGAUCUAGCCAUGGGCAGGUUGAAGGUUGGGUAACACUAACUGGAGGACCGAACCGACUAAUGUUGAAAAAUUAGCGGAUGACUUGUGGCUGGGGGUGAAAGGCCAAUCAAACCGGGAGAUAGCUGGUUCUCCCCGAAAGCU
rnacentral:rRNA from 1 species